rnacentral:rRNA from 1 species
CCUACGGGGGGCAGCAGUAGGGAAUCUUCCACAAUGGGCGCAAGCCUGAUGGAGCAACACCGCGUGAGUGAAGAAGGGUUUCGGCUCGUAAAGCUCUGUUGUUGGAGAAGAACGUGCGUGAGAGUAACUGUUCACGCAGUGACGGUAUCCAACCAGAAAGUCACGGCUAACGACGUGCCAGCAGCCGCGGUAAUACGUAGGUGGCAAGCGUUAGCCGGAUUUAUUGGGCGUAAAGCGAGCGCAGGCGGUUGCUUAGGUCUGAUGUGAAAGCCUUCGGCUUAACCGAAGAAGUGCAUCGGAAACCGGGCAACUUGAGUGCAGAAGAGGACAGUGGAACUCCAUGUGUAGCGGUGGAAUGCGUAGAUAUAUGGAAGAACACCAGUGGCGAAGGCGGCUGUCUGGUCUGCAACUGACGCUGAGGCUCGAAAGCAUGGGUAGCGAACAGGAUUAGAUACCCGAGUAGUC